UACGUAGGGAGCAAGCGUUGUCCGGAAUCAUUGGGCGUAAAGCGCGCGUAGGCGGCCCUGUAAGUCCGUUGUGAAAGUCAAAGGCUCGACCUUUGAAAGCCGAUGGAUACUGCAGGGCUAGAGUCCGGAAGAGGCGAGUGGAAUUCCUGGUGUAGCGGUGGAAUGCGUAGAUAUCUGGAGGAACACCGGUGGCGAAGGCGGCAUCCUGGACCGGCAUUGACGCUGAGGCGCGAAAGCCAGGGGAGCAAACGGG
rnacentral:rRNA from 1 species